CUGGUACUGCAACAAACUUACCAUUGCAAAUCGUAUCUGACAUAGCUUGUGUUGCAAUUUCUUAGCGGUGGUCCUCCCGGUUUAGUGAAAUCCGAACCAGACAAAAGCGCAGUCAAAUCCCAGCCGUGGUUCCUACCAGUUCCUUGCAUCAAAAUAUCCCUGCCUUGACACCGAUCGUGAUUCAAGCACCCCAACAGAAGCAGAAAUCGCAUGGACCAACAGUAAACCACAGCAGAUACAGAUCCAGCGAACAUAAAUCUUCCAACAGUAACAACAAGGCCCCACAAUCACCAUUCAGCAGCAGAGCGCGGUGACAAUAGAUCAACAGCAAACACAAUAUGUAGGAGCUCAAAAGCUACUUUCUCUUUCGACAAACAUGUUAUGGAAGUUCACGACAUGUUAAAACGGGCUAAACGUAAGCCAGGAAAAGGUCCUUCAGACAGAUAACAUUCAGGCGGCGUUGGUGUUGGUGGCAUUUCGAAGGUACCGAGAGCUAGAUCCGACCCUAUCAGCAACACGAAACGAACCCCGGCAAGACUGGUAGGGCGCAAGGUGCCAGUGAACACACGACACCCCCUACAUAAUUCAAUAGUUCUGGGGAAAGUUUUCAUUGGGACGUAUAUGACAUUAUCUUUGUUUACUUUCGCUUCUGUUUAUUACUCGGUUGCUUCAACAUUUACCUAUUA